AGGGCUUGGGAUUAGCCAUUGCCAUAGAAUGGAGUGAAUAACAGAGAAGAGAAACUGUGACUAAUUUAAGAGUGAUAAUCAUACAAUUGCAAUUUGGAGAAGAUUGACCUGAAAGAACAAGAAGAAAGGAGCAGAGAUGAAGUCUUCCUCUCCUACUGCCUCUGGGCAGAGGUGAAGAGCUUUUGAAGGCAUGCACCAUGAGGUUAUGAGACCCACUCAGCUAGACAUAUGUUUUGGAAGAUAUGUG
rnacentral:lncRNA from 1 species